AGAACAAACUUGAGGCAAACAAGCGGCCGUUGCACUGAGAUGCAUAAUAUAGUUGUGUAGCAGCCAGGCAGCUCUAGCGUGCCAGUUCUGGCUCUCUCAAGGCUACAGUAAGGAAUUUGUUCUUUUAAUCUGACUCAAACCUCUCUGCUUCCUAAAGCGAGGCAAAGGAUUUGGAAUCCGCAGCAACAUUGUAUGGCAGGGUGAGGAGGGAAUGUCCCACUGGGGCAAAUAAUGUGCUGCAUUAAGGCGUGGGAAAAGCCCAGGCUUGCACUCUUUACCAAACAAGGUUUGACCUGCAUUAGGAGAGUCACCCUUCUUUGGCCUCUCCGCCCAUGCUCUGGCUGCAGCCAGGCAAGAAUUCCCGUGCUUUCUAGUCUCCUACCAGCUUGCACCAGUGCUGCAGCAAUGUUUGAAUUCUGCUUUUCCGUCUCUUCACUGCGCUCGGCUCCCCACCUCAGACCUGCAGUACUGCACCCUUCCCAGAGACCCCUGCUUUCUAGACACCCCGCCCCCCUCGGUCUGCUCUCUAGCCGAGGCCUCCACUCCAGCAUUACAGAAGAUCCCCUUUCAGUCUUCCCCAGUUCCGCUCCAUGCUGCGCCCUCCCAGUUCUCCCCCUUUCUCCUCUCUUCCUGUGUUCUGCUUCCCAGUUCAGCCCCUUGCUAAUGUAAGGAUAAUAGCCAUAUCCUACUCUGCCUCUAAGAAUAAAGUCCCCUAGCAACCAA